GCCCUCAUGGAGCAGUGGUUAGCUCGUUGGUCUCCGAUGCCUUGUGACAGCCAAAGGUCACGGGUUCGACUCCCGUUGUGGGCU
rfam:Pseudomassariella vexata strain CBS 129021 BCR38scaffold_4, whole genome shotgun sequence.